rnacentral:rRNA from 1 species
GACGAACGCUGGCGGCGUGCUUAACACAUGCAAGUCGAGCGGUAAGGCCCUUUCGGGGGUACGACGAGCGGCGAACGGGUGAGUAACACGCGGGUGACCUGCCCUCAGCUCUGGGAUAAGCCUGGGAAACCGGGUCUAAUACCGGAUAUGACUCCAUGACGCAUGUUGUGGGGUGGAAAGCCUUGUGCGGCUGAGGAUGGGCCCGCGGCCUAUCAGCUUGUUGGUGGGGUGAUGGCCUACCAAGGCGACGACGGGUAGCCGGCCUGAGAGGGCGGACCGGCCACACUGGGACUGAGACACGGCCCAGACUCCUACGGGAGGCAGCAGUGGGGAAUCUUGCGCAAUGGGCGAAAGCCUGACGCAGCGACGCCGCGUGAGGGAUGACGGCCU